rnacentral:rRNA from 1 species
ACGUAGGAUCCAAGCGUUGUCCGGAUUUACUGGGUGUAAAGGGUGCGCAGGCGGGAUUGUGCGUCGGAGGUUAAAUCCAUCGGCUCAACCGACGAAAUGCCUUCGCUACGGCGAGCCUUGAGUGCGAGAGAGGAUGGUGGAAUUCCUGGUGUAGCGGUGAAAUGCGUAGAUAUCCGGAGGAACACCAGAGGCGAAGGCGACACCCUGGGCCGUACCUGACGCUAAGACGCGACAGCACGGGGAGCGAACGG